UUUUAUCGUAAUCCCGCUCGUUAGGAUGAGCGCGAUGCGCACUAUAGCUAUCCCGCUUGCACCUGCUGGUACGGUACCAACACAGACUGCUGAUACGCUUGCUUAAAUAUUUUAGCAAGCUUAGCUACGUACACCCGGCAAGCUGACAGCAAAAAAAAAAGUUCGCCAGCCUGAACAGACGGACUGUGUUUGCUUACCGGAAUCGAAAGCCAACACACACAUAGACCAGAUCCAUACCCGCGCGCGCUCAAGCAAAAACCGGCAGCUAGUAGUAUCGGAAUCGGAGCGAACGAGGUAGUGGUAGUGUAGAGUGGGUCUGCUGUGCAAGGCUAGAAAAGUUGAACGAUGAAGUUUUGCACCGAACCGAACCGACAAAGUGCACCAGUUGCAAUCGAAUGGGAGUGACUCUCGGAGAGAUAAUUUAAUAUGAUUAUCUCGAGUUCAAUUACAAAUGAAAUAGUACUAUUUUGUUGAUGUGUGGGAGUGUGUGUGUGUGGGUAUUCGCAUGUGCUGUUUUCCAUCGUUGAUUAGUUUGCCAUCGAUAUCGCUUUCUUUUCGGAUGCGGACGGGCUAGUCCGGGACUUUUUUUUUUUCUUGCAGCGCAACAACAACACCAAGUACCAUGCCGGGCAUGACUUGUUGGUUAGGUGUUCGGCGGCGCCUUGAGCGCUAGUGUCGGUCGCCCGGAUAUCGAUACCUGAUGUAUCACUAACACUUCACCCUUUACGGCACGCACUUCGCAACCGAGCGCUACGAUGAGCGUGGAUGUGCCGCUGAUCUGACGUUGUUUGGCGUGCGCAGGUACUUGAAGUUGAAACUACGAAAAACACGUACCCUGGACUGCCAGAGUACUCGCGCUCUCCCGUCGGCAAGCGUCUCGUCCCGGUCGAGCCCGACCCGGACUCAACCGUACACGGACUAUUAGUGCUUUUAAUAGUGGUCCGCCUAUCUGGACUUGUACAUCGCAAUUCAGACCUCCAUCGGGUGGGAUGUCUAGAGGUUUGCAGGUAGUGGAGGAACGAUACGAUUUACAUUUUACUUCGAACCAGUGCUCCAGUCUUUUGCAACAGUGCCGGAAAUGCAGAACACAAAACCGUUUCGCGGUUUUAUUUCGGCCCAACAUGGCUGGUUGGGACGCCAGCGUGACGGGCAGCUCACCGAACGUACCGUGUGAGUGUGUGUGUGUGUGUGGGGGGCAGGAUGUUUAUGUGCAUUUUAUGUAAAACCAUCGUGUACUGACGUACCCGGACGGACUCGUCUCGUACUCUCUGGGAACCUUUCUGAGAAUGCUUCCAAUCGUGACCGACGCACGCGUUGAGUAGUUGGUGGUGGACUUCACCCAAGAGUAUGACUGACGUGACGGUGUGACGAUGAUGACAAUGAUGCGUCUGAGGGUCACCGUGUGCUCCACGUAUCCAGCGUCCUGUAUGCAGGUGACUGUACAAAAGGCAGAAUGGAAUAUUCACGAUGAUUGAUAUCAUAUGCCGUAAGCCAAUCGACACUCGAUCCAGCCAAUUAUCGCUGCUCAGCUUCUUGUCCUCUCCCCCAAUAUCCUGUUCCUGAUGCGUGUCUGAGCGAUUGAAGUGACAGUUUAUUGCGUUGCGAAAGGAAUGUCUGAUGCCAUCUACCGGUCUAUACCGUGUAAGUCUCUGCAGUGAGCUUCUUCCUUUUGAUGCGCAUUCACACACUUACUCACCCUCCGCCUAGACAACGUGAAUAGGGGAACAAAUGAUUUGUGACUAUCGUUGUCUAGGCGAUAGAAUGCAAAAGUUGUCCAAAAUGAUGUACUACUCUGAUUCCUCUGCACUCUCCCAAAACCUCUCUGGUAACCGCUGACAACAACAACAACUACCGCCAACCAUCACCAACCAUCAUUCGCAUACGCUAGCGACGCGUACACCCUCGCCCACCACGUAGUGCCGGAUUUGGGGAAAAACGAAGGAUUUUUCCGAAAAAAGCUGUACGAGAACGUCGAAAAUGCAUCAAUUUUACAUGUGAACCCUUUUCCCUGCCCUGGAUGCGCAUCCUUCAAUACGCUUAGUGCAAUGGCUCGCAGGACCUGCCUCUGCCUGCUAAGCCGACUACUACAAGCUGAUGCACCGGUGCGAGUGCACCGUGCGGCGAACAGGAUUUCCCUAUCAAUGGGUUGCAAGCAGCUAAGGGGUUUUUAUAGCCUCGAUCGAGACAAAACGAGUGCCGGGACGAGAGCGUGUGUUGGAGACAGUGAGAGGAGGAGCGAAAAAAUUUCCAUAACAUCAGCCUCCGGGUGAGUCUUUAGGGUUGUGUGCUCGGGGAGUUCUUCAUGAGCGCAGUCUGGUCCGGUGAGGAAAAUGGGAAGAGAACGUAGAGAGAUAGAGAGAGAGAUAGAAAAAAAAUCGCAUUCCCUAAAAUCCCCUUCCGUUUCGGGCGGGAUGCUGAGGACCUCCACUCCACUGCUACCUUACCCUGCGGCCCAAUCAAUGAGACGCAUUUCUAGUUCACCUAAUCCGCUUACCAUCUAAACUGCAUCGAGCUAGUGUGCGUGUUUCCGGUCUCCGCCGGAUCCAAUCGUGGUCCCCCCCCCCUCCCCCACGCAAUGCAAUAGAUUUUCGGCAAAAGGAAACGAUCGGAGCGUUCAAUAAUAAUUCGGACCUUUCGGAUGGUAAAUCGAAGAGCUCUGAUCGGUUCUCGGAAGACAACUCCGAUCCGCAUUAUCCGCAUGUCCGCAGGUAAGGUGAGUAUGGGCGUUGGUGGUGGGAUCGAACCGGUACCAGGGUUUAAUGGACCAGCAGUGAGACCAGGCGAGCAGUGAGACGAAAGGCGUACACCAAACCUCUUGGGCGAAGAAACCGUAGACGAGCAAAAAAAAGGUUAAUUGCAGUUACGGGGUUCAGCAAGAGUUCGUUAGGGUUAUGGAAGAUUAUGGCAUUUUGUCUACAUCGGUUGUGGUAAGACCUUCAAUCGUUUCUCCCGGUAUGAUAUUUUUGAUGCGAACUUCUUUAAGAUAUGCAGCGUGUAGUAGCAUUCAAUCAAAGUGUAAUAAGAGCUUGACCUGGAGCUUGGAGCCCGGAGAACUAUCAACAACUUCACUUGCAAGAGAGAGGGAUAGUUAAAAACUAAACGAGAAGUUUACAGAACGCUCGAUUGUAGUAUGCUCUGUAUCUGAGGUUCUGUCUUUCGAAAAAAGAGUUCUGGCAUGGCAGAGUCGAAGUUCUGCCAUAGAUAGAGAAAUUAAUAAGCAUAUCCAAACUCAUAGAAGAAUACGUCAGCGGAUAUAAUGUACAAAUUAAUCUGAACUCCCUAACCUAUCAAUAUAGACAAAAACAACGUUGCUACCUGAAAAGCAACACCUAAAUUGAAUUGAAGAACAGAUAGUCGAUCACUUGCUUGACUUAACCUGGUUAUAUAGACAUUACUAGUUUACGGCGCUUCUAAGAAUGGAGAUCAACGAGAAGCAAACGGGUUUCUACGAUUGAAGUGUCAAAUAAGAAGGAGAAUCAGAAGAAUAUUUGCAGAUAAUCAAACGGAUCCUUGAAGUCUUCCUUAACUUCUCAUACACAAACAGCAAACCAACAAAACUACAAUCUUUCGAAGCUCAAACCCAAAAACUCGUCAAACCUAAUGUCAACGCCUUCUAGAUAUAUCAGAUCUGUCAUAGACCGUCAAAUAAAAGAUUUUCUACUAGCUACCUCAA